UACAGCCAUAUCAUGCUGAAACACCGGUUCACGUACGAUCACUGAAGUUAAGCAAUGUCAAGCCUGGUUAGUACUUAGAUGGGUUACCACUUGGGAAUAACAGGUGCU